rnacentral:rRNA from 1 species
AUUGAACGCUGGCGGCAUGCUUUACACAUGCAAGUCGAACGGUAACAGGUAAAGCUGACGAGUGGCGAACGGGUGAGUAAUGCAUCGGAACGUGCCCGGUCGUGGGGGAUAACACUUCGAAAGAAGUGCUAAUACCGCAUACGAUCUAAGGAUGAAAGCGGGGGACCGUAAGGCCUCGCGCGAUUGGAGCGGCCGAUGUCAGAUUAGGUAGUUGGUGGGGUAAAGGCUCACCAAGCCGACGAUCUGUAGCUGGUCUGAGAGGACGACCAGCCACAAUGGGACUGAGACACGGCCCAGACUCCAACGGGAGGCAGCAGUGGGGAAUGUUGGACAAGGGGCGCAAGCCUGAUCCAGCAAUGCCGCGUGCAGGAAGAAGGCCUUCGGGUUGUAAACUGCUUUUGUACGGAGCGAAAAGGCUCUCUCUAAUACAGGGGGCUGAUGACGGUACCGUAAGAAUAAGCACCGGCUAACUACGUGCCAGCCGCCGCCGUAA